CGGAGAACUGAGAGAUGCAUUUGCUGCCAUGAAUCCACACCACUGAGAGAACAGAUACAGUGCCUACUAAUGCCACCUUGACUGUGUGCAAAGCAACCAUCAUCACUGUGGCUUUUACACAAAAGUCUUUGUGAAAAAUGUUUUGUCCGUCAGUAUAAAACCUGCUGCAAGACAGCAACCACAAAUAUUACUGCAACUUUGGCAUCCACGGUGACUCCAGCGUCCACUCCAGCAUCCAUGGCGACUCGGCGUCCACAGCAGACCAUCAGAAAAAAAGAUGCAAAAAAACAAACAUGUUUUUGCUUGCAGUUAUGGGAGGAAGUUUGCUGACUUUCCCAAGGAAGGCAGAGCAACACUCUAAGACGACCCACCGCCUGUCCUCAGGAGCAGCGUGAAAGAAGGCGGCGCUCAGGCUGCACUGUGGCUCCAAUCCCAACUACUGCACCCAGGGAGCAGGGGAGGGCGGAGCGUGAGAGGCUCCAAUCUCAACUGCUGCACAGGGGAGCAGGGGAGGGCGGAGCGUGAGAGGCUCCAAUCUCAACUGCUGCACAGGGGAGCAGGGGAGGGCGGAGCGUGAGAGGCUCCAAUCUCAACUGCUGCACCCAGGAAGCAGGGGAGGACGUGAGUCCUUUUUCUGUUGUAGGCUUUAUAAAGCGUUAAAGCGUUAAAGCCAAUAAUAUUACUAAAGCUUCAGAGGAAGCAAAACUUUAAUGCCAGCGGGUGCACCCUAUAAAAUGGCUAAAAUGGUUUCUCAGGGUAUUUCAUGGUUUCUCGGUAUUUCAUGGUUUCAAGGUAUUUCUCAGGCUCAAUCUCAACUGCUGCACCCAGGGAGGGAGCAGGGGAGGAACUGAGUCCUUUUUCCUGUUCUCGGCUUUAUAAAGCUAUAUUUAAAGGUUUAUAUAGGACCACAAUAAUAUUACUAAAGCUUCAGAGGAAGCAAAACUUUAAUGCCAGCGGGUGCACCCUAUAAAAUGGCUAAAAUGGUUUCUCGGUAUUUCAUGGUUUCAAGGUAUUUCUCAGGCUCAAUCUCAACUGCUGCACCCAGGGAGGGAGCAGGGGAGGAACUGAGUCCUUUUUCCUGUUCUCGGCUUUAUAAAGCUAUAUUUAAAGGUUUAUAUAGGACCACAAUAAUAUUACUAAAGCUUCAGAGGAAGCAAAACUUUAAUGCCAGCGGGUGCACCCUAUAAAAUGGCUAAAAUGGUUUCUCAAGGUAAUUCAUGGUUUCUCGGUAUUUCAUGGUUUCAAGGUAUUUCUCAGGCUCAAUCUCAACUGCUGCACCCAGGGAGGGAGCAGGGGAGGAACUGAGUCCUUUUUCCUGUUGUAGGCUUUAUAAAGCUAUAUUUAAAGGUUUUUUUAAAGGGUUUCUCAAAUAUGCUACAAAACAGUGACUUUCAACAUGACCUUCAAACAGCACUUAGCUGUGACUGAAGGCUGUUUGACUGUGUGCUGUGUGCUGUGCUAUCUGCACAGUGCAAUGUAUUGUUUUGGUGCAGUGCAUUGGGCACAAUGUACUGUUUCUGGAGUUGGUUCAGGCCAUUGGGUGCAAUACAUUUUAUUGGGUGCAAGCCAAAGGAAAAGGAUCCGUCGCAAUGCAACACCGAACUUGGAAACUUGGGAUCCACAGUCCCCUCCCCCUACCAGUCUGCGCCACCUGAAUGGAAAAAGGGUGGCAAAUCUCCCCAAACCCACCUGUGACUGCUGUUUGUUGCUGCUUUGUGACCGAUACACUGGAACUGGAUUGGACCCUAUGGAACUGGAUUGGACCCUAUGGAACUGGAUUGAACCCUAUGGAACUGGAUUGGACCCUAUGGAACUGGAUUGGACUGUACUUGGCGUAGCAUAUCUCUUUUGUAAAAAAGAUCUCUUGUACAGAUCUGUUGUACAUGUAGUUUGUUGUAUCUGUCCACCUAUUGUAUGACGAGUCAGAACUGAGCUGUGACUCAAGUGACUGGGAUGUUUGCUGCUGCUGCUUUUGUUUUUUCUAAUCUAUUCCAGAACAGAUACGUACUUCUGGAAUAGCCCCCCCUGGUCAGUGGCCACCAUGACAAAAAGAACCUAUGGUGAAACCAGCAGCGAAACACAUGGACUGGAUUUCACUGACUGGACUGGAUGUGAUUUACCUGUCCUUGAAGUUUUAGUGCGGCCAGCUGGGGGCGCCACAGCCACUUCACCCCAUCAGCGUGGAUGAAGAAGUUUGAAGAAUUAUUUUUGUAUAAAUUAAUAGAAAAUGGCUCUUUAUUUUUUUUCCAUUGCAAAAGUCACCUGAUUCUUGACACUUUAACUUCAUGUAUAAUUCACACUUAAGUGCUGCAUUGGGAGUUGUUCCGUCUUUUGGAUUUGUGAACAAUAAGUUAACUGUUCAUUUCUAUUUAUUUUUUGGAAUAUUUUCUGGUUUCUUUUCUCCAUAGAAAAAAGAAGUCAUUACAACAGAAUCACUUGAACGUCAUU